rnacentral:rRNA from 1 species
AACGAACUCUGGCGGCAUGCCUAACACAUGCAAGUCGAACGAGACCUUCGGGCCAAGUGCCGCACGGGUGCGUAACGCGUGGGAACCUGCCCGUAAUUUCGGAAUAACUCUCCGAUAGGUAUACCAAUACCGAAUAACGUCUUCGGACCAAAGAUUGAUCGCCCUUGGAUGUUCCCGCGUUGGAUUAGCUAGUUGGUAUGGUAAAAGCAUACAAAAGCCACGAUACAUAGCUGGUCUGAGAGAAUGAUAAGCCACACUGGGACUGAGACACGGCACAGACUCCUACGGGAGGGAGUAGUGGGGAAUAGUGGACAAUGGGGGAAAGCAUGAUCCAGCAAUGCCGGGUGAGUGAUGAAGGCCUUAGGGUUGUAAAGCUCUUUUACCCGGGAUGAUAAUGACAGUAGCGGGAGAAUAAGCUCCGGCUAACUCGGUG